GUGCGAGCUGUUCCGCCAGGAGCAUUGCUCGGUAGCUAUGUCCGGCAGGGAUAAGCGCUGAAGGCAUCUAAGCGCGAAACCCGCCUGAAGAUGAGACCUCCCGGGGCGUAAGCCCCCUGAAGGGCCCUCGUAGAUUACGAGGUUGAUAGGCCGGAGGUGUAAGCACCGUAAGGUGUUCAGCUUACCGGUACUAAUCGCCCGUGCGGCUUGACCAC
rnacentral:rRNA from 1 species